rnacentral:rRNA from 19 species
UGACCUCAAAUCAGGUAG